CUGAGUUGUAGAUAGGUUUGGUGGACACAUACACAAUUUACGGUAUGACGUAGCCAUUCAUCAAUUGAGGAAGAGCCGCAGUUAGCGAAAUUUCGGGCGAGUGAGCAAACAAACAGUUCAACAUAAGGAAACCGGUUUCUCAGGGCCCAUCGAAACGAAGUUCGACAAACCUUAACGUGGGCUGAUUCAUCAUUGUUAUUACUUACUCGGAAGCAGUACAGCUUAUUCGCCUUUUGCGGGUGCUUUCAAAGGUCGACGGAUGCACAGUGGGAUAUCGCUGAUUAUCAACCAGAAAUAGAAAAUUAGAAUUAUCCAUCGAUUAUAUGCCUAUCAUUGUAGAAAAAUUCAACACCUUUUUUUUUUUGCUUGGCCAACAAACUCAUGGAGUCACCGCAAUGUGGGGUAUAGCGCGAACAGAAACAGGAAGCGAACGAGAAGUUUUUUUUAUUGAUCCGGUGAGGAUGAAAGCUAUUGACUAUCCGUGGGAAAGGAAUAAAAAUUCGAUGCUAUCCGAAGGAGGCUUCUGAAGA